CCCCCCCGAUAUCCCGGACCCCCCCCAGUCCCGGACCCUCCGGUCCCGGUACCACGAGGCUAUAGGAGAGAUGGAAGGCCGGAGCUCAGCCAAUGGAGAUGGAGGAGGAUCUGAAGGUGCUCCCAAUGAAGAUGGAGGAUCCGGAGGUGCUCCCAAUGAAGAUGGAGGAGGAUCUGAAGGUGCCGCCAAUGGAGAUGGAGGAUCCGGAGGUGCCUCCAAUGAAGAUGGAGGAGGAUCAGAAGGUGCCGCCAAUGAAGAUGGAGGAUCCGGAGGUGCUCUCAGUGAAGAUGGAGGAUCCGUUUCUCCCCGCGGGGACCCCUGGGAUUGGUCGAGGCGGGAGGCGUGGCUGUGGGCUCUGGAGGAGGAGGAGGAGGAGCAAUGGGAGCCGUGGGUGGGGCUGGGGGCGUGGCCACCGGAGGA